rnacentral:rRNA from 1 species
AUUGAACGCUGGCGGCGUGCUUAACACACGCAAGUCGAUCGGUAACGCGGGGGCAACCCUGGCGACGAGAGGCGGACGGGUGAGGAACGCUUGGGAAUCUGCCUAUCAGCGGGGGACAACACGGGGAAACUCGUGCUAAUACCGCAUACGCUCUACGGAGGAAAGCCGGGGACCGCAAGGCCUGGCACUGAUAGAUGAGCCCAAGCCGGAUUAGCUAGUUGGCGGGGUAACGGCCCACCAAGGCGACGAUCCGUAGCUGGUCUGAGAGGACGAUCAGCAACACUGGGGCUGGGACACGGCCCAGACUCCUACGGGAGGCAGCAGUGGGGAAUAUUGGACAAGGGGGGAAACCCUGAUCCAUCGACGCCGCGUGGGUGAAGAAGGCCUGCGGGUUGUAAAGCCCUUUCGGUAGGGACGAAAGCUCUCGACCUAACACGUCGGGAGGUUGACUUAACCUACAAAAGAAGCACCGGCUAACUCUGUGCCAGCAGCCGCAGCGGUAA